rnacentral:lncRNA from 1 species
GUAGCUGGGACUACAGGCGCGUGUCACCAUGCCCAGCUAAUUUUUGUAUUUUUAGUAGAGACGGGGUUUCACUAUAUUGGCCAGGCUGGUCUCAAAAGUUAUAAAGCUAUGCUUCAAAUUCAGUGUGUCUCCCUUGUUUCGUGUAUGUGUGUGUGUGUGUGUGUGUGUGUGUGUGUGUUUAAAUCACAGUAUGUUCUUCGUCUUGGCUAUCAUUACUUCCAUUUUAAAAAAUAAUUAGAAUAAGUUUGCUUAUAUUUGUGUGCAACUCUUGA